GAGAACUCUGUACAGACUCACAUUUUCUCAUUUCUUUUGUUUUCUUUCCUUCUUCUAUUUUGUCCUUGUUUGUUUCUUCAAAGCUUGAAUACCCAUCUCAUCGAUGACGGAGCUGCCUAUGAUCUCAAAAACCCAUUGUAUAUUCACUUUCCAACCGUGCAAAACCGCUUUCUUUGGACCCCAUUUCUUAGUUUGCUUCUGUCGUUUUCGUAUUUGUGAAUUGAAGACGAGGUGGGGGUUCUGAUUCUUGAAGAAACUCACGAGACUUACAUGGAUGAAGCAGGCCAACUCGUCGGCGUGAUCAGUGAUUGAGGCGAGAACGCUGCUGUGGUUCCUGAGAGAGGAAAUGGACGGUUUGGAUCGAAUCGGGAGGUGGAGGAGUAUAAAGCGACGGCUGGGAUUUAAGAAGAUGAGCUGCUGCGGCGCGUCCUGGGGUUUCAGGCCGUCGACGAUGACCGUGAGAGAGGAUGACAAUGACGACGACGAUGGAGUCCAAGCCCAAGCCCAAGCCCAAGCGCAGUCCAUGGCUCAGGCCAAGAGGAAGUGGGUCAGGCCUCGCCGGGGAUCAGUCCGGACCGGGGCUGCGUGGGCGAAGCUCCGGUGUCGCCGAGGAUGAACCUGGCGACGGCGCUCGCGGCCGAGAGGCAAAUGAGGGCGGCGCAGGACGUGGCGACCGUGGCGGAGGGGCCCACGAAUGGUGGGACAAGUGAGGGUGCACCUGGGACGCCGCUGAGGGUGUCGCUGCUGAGACUGCUGGAGGAAUCGGACGGUGGGGAUGGGGAGAUGGAGAAGGAGAGAGGAGCGGGGAGUGAUCAACUGUGCUGCGUGUGCAUGGGAAGAAAGAAAGGCGCAGCUUUCAUACCAUGUGGUCACACCUUUUGCAGGGUGUGUUCGAGGGAGCUGUGGUUGAACCGAGGCUCUUGUCCCCUCUGCAACCGUUCGAUUCUCGAGAUUCUGGACAUAUUCUGAGCCGUCAGAUCAACCGCCUCGGGAUCCGACGGUUGAUGGGUGGACUCAAGGAGGGAAAAUUUUUCAAAAGGGUGAUUCAAUUUUCGAUGUUACGAGGAUUUAUUUGUAAUUUGAUGAUUUUAUUGCGACUUCAAAUUUGUCUAUUUUUGUGAAUUUCCAUUUUUGGGGUGGUGCAUUGGAUUCUUGUGAGCCCAUUGAUUGCCCAUUUAUUGAUUGGGAGAAUUGUGUUUUGGGCCCAGUUGGGCCCAAAAAUUAACAAAUGGUCCAUAUAUGUUACAGAAUUAAUAGAAAGGCUAUGAGAUAUUGAGUGACCUAUA